AUGUUAUGGCUUUGGUGGUUUGAAAGAAACAAAGCACACUCAGGGGAAAGGAUAAGAGGUUGUAAUGAAAUCCAAGCUUCCAUUGAAAUCCACUGCAAAGAAUUUGAGGAGGAAUGGAAUAAAAAGGAAAAAACACCUAAACUCCCCUGCUUGGACAAAUGGAAGCCUCCUCCGCCUAAUGUCCUGAAGAUAAAUAUUAAUGGUGUGUAUGUUGAAAAUUCUCACAAAGGUGGAUGGGGAUAUGUGCUUAGAAAUGACAAAGGAGAGGUGUUGGCAGCAGGUGCAGGAUCUAUGCAGCACAUUUCUGAAGCUAUCCAUGCAGAAAGUCUAGCACUCCUCGAGGCAAUCAAUAGGGCAAAUGAACUGGGAUGUGACCGAUUAAUUUUUGAAACUGAUGCUUUUGUACUGAAACAAGCAGUAACGAGUGAAGCUUAG
rnacentral:rRNA from 1 species